GAUGUACUCCCUCCGUCCCAAAAUAAGUGACUCAACUUUGUACUAACUUUAGUAGAAUCUUAGUACAAACUUGAGUCACUUAUUUUGGGACGGAGGGAGUAGCAU
rfam:Triticum aestivum genome assembly, contig: Triticum_aestivum_CS42_TGACv1_scaffold_513883_6BS